CACGCUGUAAACGAUGGGUACUAGGUUUGGUGGGUCUUGACCCCCGCCGAACCGGCGCUAACGCACUAAGUACCCCGCCUGGGAAGUACGGUCGCAAGACUAAAACUCAAAGGAAUUGACGGGGGCCCGCACAAGCGGUGGAUCAUGUGGUUUAAUUCGAAGCAACGCGAAGAACCUUACCUGGGUUUGACAUCCUCUGACCGACGUAGAGAUACGUAAUUUGUAGCAAUACAACAGAGUGACAGGUGC
rnacentral:rRNA from 1 species